rnacentral:ncRNA from 1 species
GGGUACCGUCCUCUCCGCUUGCUCUAACGUUCGGUAUAAACGUGGAGUUGGCG